UACACUCAGUUCUCCCAGGCGUCACUAAAUGUAUUUUGGUCCAGAAGAGCAGUUAUUACCAUAGCUUUUGCCCGAGGGAUGAGCCAGCAUCCGGCCCUCAGUUCCCCGGGCUCGAGGUGGCCAGCUGUCCCCAGCACGGGGUGAGCGCCCGCAUAUCUCCUCAGCCCACGGUCCCCUCUGCCGCCAGGCAGGCAGUGAUUCCAGGGUCACGGUGCAUGGCCACUCCUCCCGCCAGAGAAAAAUGUGCAUGUGGCAGUUGCGGACAGUUCCCCACGCGGACCCCAGGUGUCGCGCUGUCACCAAUGAGCAUCUGCUGUAUACAACAGCACUGUUGUACGGCACACUGAGUCACAGAGCCUGGACAUCUUCUCCCUGGAGGAAGCCUCCGAAUUCCCCCAGACACCCCUGCUGAGGCCUGGAAAGCAGCGGAGCCUCUACAGACUUCUCUCUUCUUCAUAAGGGACGUGGACAACCGCAAGCUUGGUGUGACACUUCUAAAAGGUCACCGCCCCUGAGCUUGAUGCCUCAUGAUCAACGGAUCCUGCCCAGACUCCCAGAGAGGGCGAUUGAUUAAUCAAUGUUCUGUCGAGGCCAAAGAGUCUAUACAUCAGGCUGUUUGGAAGGAAGCUGGCUGUAGACUGGAGUCAGGCAGAGGGAGGAGAGGCGGACGAACGUUCACCGAGUGUCCACCGUGGGCUGGGAAAAGUGCUCAGCAGUUGCCAGGUAUACGAACGACAAGCUUCUGCCCUCAAGGAAUUCACAAGGAACUUCUCCCCUUAUGGCCAGCCGGCCAUCCCCCACUGUGGAGAUGUCAAAGAGGGGAAAGGGGAAACGAUACAGUUUGCAAUUGUCUCUCUGGACUCAGGACCCAGAGAGUUUUCUAGGGCCCCCAGAAGACCUGGCUCCUGAGGCUAGCCCUGCUUACUGACCUUCAACACAAAAGUGCCUCUGUGUCCAGACCUGGAGGAACAGUCAGGGUUGUCUGGUGGGAUCGUCACAGUGCUGAGGUUGGUAAGAGCCCAGGUCAUGGGCAGAAAGGAAGGGAAACCUAUCUGGGUAUCCUGCUUCCUGCAGCCCCUGGGGGGGGGGGGGGGGGGGGGGGCGGGGGCGGGGGUUGGUGCAGGAGGGCCAGGAAUUGCUUCUGCUAGCAUUCUCUGGGGAUCACAUGGCCCAAGAGUUGGGGAAUCUUUAUGGGGACCCCCCCAAAUAGUUUAGGGUCCUGAAAAGAAGCUCUCAUAUUUCCUACAUCCCCCCACUAGCCUCAGGCAUAUGGCAGAUAGGGAUCCCACUGCAAAAGGUGCUUGGCAGUUCAAACAUGAGGUCCCAAGUCCAAGGAAGUGUUUUAACUCAUUCAACAAACACCUAUCAAGCCCCUACUUACUACCAGGCAUGUUAAUAAUUCAGGCUAUGCUCUUAAGCUGGACAGGAGAUAGAGGUCUAAGUGUAAUUUCUAAAAAGUUGAAAGUAUAAGUCUCCUACAGAUACAGAAUAAACAUGUCAAAGAUUUUAUUUAAUUCAUCCAUUAACGAGGUAACCAAUAAAAUACACUGGUUCAAAGAGCCUUUAAGGCACUGGAUUUAAAGGGAAGACACACCGGUGCACCUGGAUGGCUCAGUCGGCUGAGCGUCCGACUUCGGCCCAGGUUAUGAUCUCAAAGUCUGUGAGUUCGAGCCCCGCAUCGGGAUCUGUGC